UACGGAAGGCAGCAGUGGGGAAUAUUGCACAAUGGGCGCAAGCCUGAUGCAGCCAUGCCGCGUGUAUGAAAAAGGCCUUCGGGUUGUAAAGUACUUUCAGUCGUGAGGAAGGUGUUAAGGUUAAUAACCUUAGCAAUUGACGUUAGCGACAGAAGAAGCACCGGCUAACUCCGUGCCAGCAGCCGCGGUAAUACGGAGGGUGCGAGCGUUAAUCGGAAUUACUGGGCGUAAAGGGCACGCAGGCGGUUAAUUAAGUUGGAUGUGAAAUCCCCGGGCUUAACCUGGGAAUGGCAUUCAAGACUGGUUAGCUAGAGUCUUGUAGAGGGGGUAGAAUUCCGAUGUGUAGCGGUGAAAUGCGUAGAGAUGUGGAGGAAUACCGGUGGCGAAGGCGGCCCCUGGACAAAGACUGACGCUCAUGUGCGAAAGCUGGGGAGCAAACGAGGGAUUAGAUACC
rnacentral:rRNA from 1 species